CAUGACUUCGCACUCAUGGCAGCCUCACAGAAUCCUGUUACACCUGGGAUUUAGGCACUUUCAAUCUGAAAAAAUACAUAUCCUUUCAGCACUCUGGACGGACUUGAGAACUGUCCUUACGUGACCUAAAGCUGGAGUAUUUUGAGAUUGGAGAAUUAAGGCCUUCAGUGGGUUGAAUGAGGCCCAACCCACAUUGAAGAGGACCAUCU
rnacentral:lncRNA from 10 species